CAGAUCCUGCAGAUGACAGAUCAGUGACAGUGUUUUUAAUAUCACUAAACAGCAUCGAGAGUCACUAUUAAGGGAUGUGUUUGAACAGAAGCAGAGCUCUGGGACGUGUGGACAGACUUUCACUGUAAUGAUGGACAUCCGCUCGUGGACAGAAGUAUAACCCCUGCUGGGCAUCGUGCCGGGGCUCGGGGGGGACCCGAAUCGUCCCCAUCCCUUCAUUCACACAACACUCACUCAUAUCGCGGAGAUCUGGCUGGGAUCGAACCAGCAACCUCUGAACCGUGAGGCAGUGCUCUUACCUGUGAGCCACAGAUCUCUUGUUUGAACACUUGAAGGAACUUAUAUUUCACUAUUCACCUGCAUGUGCUUUUACAAUAAACCAGUCAAAGCUAUCAGCUGUGUGAACACACCGAGGUAGGAUUUGAACCCAAGCCUCAAUCACAGUCUUAUCAGCCAAAAACAUGUGCUUAACCACUAACCCACUGUGGUUUUCUUGUUUUGUGCUUGGCUUUUGAGGCACUUUGUUGAAUUUAACAAUGACAAUUUAAAGUAAGCAAUAGUGAGAUUUGAUCUCAGGUCUUUUAGAUGAAAGCUCAGUGUUUUACCCACUGCACCACUGCAGCUGUUGAAUGCUUUGGACGUGGUUGUAUUGAGAGCUCUGUUGGAAAGGAUGACAAUCACAAGCAACAAUGGGAUUUGAACCAAAACUUUCAUGUAUGAGAGGCAAAUGCUUAAAUGCCUUAACAUAAUCAAUAGUGGGAUUUCAAUUCAGAUAUAUUUUAGGACAAGCAUUGAUUUACAUAAUGAAAGAUUCAUUACCAGUUGUGGGAUUUGAAAGCAGUAGUGAGGCUUGAACUCCAAAUUUAAAACUCAAGACUAUGCUUUAAUCCACUGUCUUCUUUUAAAA